UUGUUAACAACAUAUCCAAACACCUCUAGAGCCAAACCAAGUCUUUUGUCCAAAGGAUGUAAGGAGAUGGCUCAUUUCUGAGUUCACUCCCCAAGUAGUCUGGCUGAAGUUUACUGACAUUUGAGUGUUACUACCUGCAUCCAAUCAUGAUGACUAUAAGUGACGCUGAUGAUGAAGACAGCAAGUACAUCUGAAAUACAGGUAAACUUCUAUCGGACCACUCAGUUUCACAACCCAGAAAACAGCCGUCUUCACAUCCGCUGUAAUGAGUAUCUCAAGUCCUACCUAAAUGAAGAACGGUUGCAAAUGUGACCACUUGCGUUGUUUACGUGGAGCUCAUCAUUUACUUCCACGUUAAAUAUUAUGGUUUAUCCUCGUGGAGAGACUUGCACUUUAUUCCUUAGGCAGGCAGAAUUCUUAGGAAUCAGAAUAUGUAACCCAGAAAUCUGCCCUCUUGAGAAGUGUAUGUUCAGGCCGUGAGGUUACCAUGAUAGGAUCAGUGUAAUUUGUUAUUUAUCCAGCGAAACCCUCUGAUGGGCACGAUCUGUUUCACACUGAAUGUCAGAGGUGUGAGGAGUGAGCUGGACCAAAUAAAGACACCUGGUUCAUUUUCUUUACAUUAAGGAGAAAAAUACAACUUCAGUGAUUGUAAAAUAUAUACCUGUAGUGAUGAGCGGUAAACAGUGACCUGUGAUUUUGUCACUGUGAUUAGAAAAUCACUAUCACUGCAGUGGUUAAAGUGCUCACUAAACAGUGAUCACAGUGAUUCUUAAUUUCUUAUGCAUCCUAGUGAGAAAACGGGACACUAUUUUGACUGCUCAGAGCAGUUUAGAGUCAGUUCACAGUGAUUCUCAGUAAUUUCUUAUGCAUCCUAGUGAGAAAACGGGACACUACAGUAUUUUGACAGCUCAGUUCUACUGUCUGUGAAUAUUAAAUAAACGAUUUCUAUACAUUUUGUUUCUUUUAAAACUUGAUUCUGUUUUAUAAUGUAUAUUAAAUAAAUUAUAUUGUCCGUAUCAUCAUACAUGGAGCAUAAUAAUAAUGCAUUUGACUAUACAAGUUGCUAUAGGCCUAUGGGUACUGCUAUCUUUAAAUAAUAUUAUUAUACAAUUCUAAUGUAUUUACCUUGUGUUCAGUUUCCAAAAUGGCUGAAGGUACAUGAAUGCAUAACGAGUGGAUCAUUUCGUAUUCCUGUGCGGUGUGUAAUAAAUCAUUCACGCACAGGAGUCUACUGAAGAGACAUCAAAUCAUUUUUGUGGAUUAAGACAAAGUUCCUUUAAGUAUAAGGGACUAGUGUUGACAGCGAGGUUGAGAAAAUGUGAACUGGAUUUGUAUGGCUUAUAGAGUGUCCAGUGAUUGGCUUAAGUGAACAAAGUCUGGGGUUUGCAUAAGGUGAGAAAUUUCUUGAGUAGCAGAGUGACUGUUCGCCACUCAGUAAGGGCGGUGCUCUGUGCAGUGAGCGAACAAGUGAGUUAUUCUGGUUUUAUGUUUGAGAAAUAGGAAUUUAAUAUCAGUGUGGAAUAAUGGCCAAGGAAUUCCAGUUGUUGAGCUCAAAGAUGAAAAAAUAUAUGUGCCUACUAUGAUCUUUGGUCAUUUAUUGACAUCUUCUAACUACAAUGAUGAAGAGGAAAAGGUUACAGGAGGUAGAAAUGGUUAUGGUGCUAAGCUGUGUAAUAUAUUUUCAUGGUAGAAACAGCGUCUAAGGAAUAUAAACGCAGUUUUAAACAGGUAAACAGUUGUGUGUGUCUGUGGUUGAGCUCAAUCUUUGAAUAGAGUUUGCUGUAUAUAAAGGAUAGAAAUGUGUCACAGAAGGCCAAUGAAAUUUCGUUAUCUCUUUCAUAAUGAAUGUAUGUCCUUCUGAUCCAUUCAGUGAGGAUCCAUCGGCAUGUAUGAUUUCUACAUUGUGAAUACCCUUACAUACAGAUGUAUGUAUUCUUGUCAUGUCUUCGAAGAUCCUGUUUUGAUGUUGUAUGUGAGAUGAAAAGUCCGGGCUCCGGUUAUAUGUUCAAGUAACUUAACCUUAUCCUGUAUAUAUUAUGGUACAUGAUAACUGCUUUAAAAGCCUUAACACUUAUACAUGGAAAGUAUUUUCUGUAUCCAUUGUGAGAUUUUCUCCCGGAAUGAUUCCCUAUUUGUAGGUUUGGGCAGUAACAUGUGAAAAACAUCAGAACCUAGAAUUAAAGACCACAUAGGAGAAGAUUUCACAAAAAUUUCCUUCUCACCAGACUUAUCAAAGUUUAAAAUGGAGACCUUGGAUAAAGGCAUUAUAGCUCUGAUGUCCGGAAGAGCAUAUGAUGUGGCAGCUUCGUCACGUGAAGUGAAGGUGUACCUCAAUGGAUAGAGACUUCCAGUAUUAGAUAUUUUUAUGUUAAAAGUUUUAAUAACUUUUUUCUUUGGAGUACUAGAACAUGAAAUACAAUUAUCUGGAAAUCAAACUACUGUUAUUGCAGGGGUUAUCAACCUUUCAAGAUCAAGGGCCUCCAAUUUUUAAUUGAUGACUGUAACUCAUGAUAACUUACAAUCAGAAGUCACUUUCAGUUUACUCAUAGGUAUUAGGGUUU